rnacentral:rRNA from 1 species
AACGAACGCUGGCGGCAUGCCUAACACAUGCAAGUCGAACGAAGUCUUCGGACUUAGUGGCGCACGGGUGCGUAACGCGUGGGAAUCUGCCCUUGGGUGCGGAAUAACUUCUCGAAAGGGAUGCUAAUACCGCAUAAUGUCGUAAGACCAAAGAUUUAUCGCCCAAGGAUGAGCCCGCGUAAGAUUAGCUAGUUGGUGGGGUAAAAGCCUACCAAGGCGACGAUCUUUAGCUGGUCUGAGAGGAUGAUCAGCCACACUGGGACUGAGACACGGCCCAGACUCCUACGGGAGGCAGCAGUGGGGGAAUAUUGGACAAUGGGCGAAAGCCUGAUCCAGCAAUGCCGCGUGAGUGAUGAAGGCCCUAGGGUUGGUAAAGCUCUUUUACCAGGGAUGAUAAUGACAGUAUCGGGAGAAUAAGCUCCGGCUAACUCCGUGCCAGCAGCCGCGGUAAU